UCAAACUUAUACGGUAAGUCGAAAUAUCUUAGUGCUAUAAGAAUGAUUCUCAUUUUUUUUUAGUUCAAUAUAAGUAGCAAAUAUUAAAAUAAAGAAAAAAAAGUGGAUGGGUCCCACAUUUAAUACAUAAAACUUAUAUGUACGGAUAUGUGUCAUACUAAUUACACACAGAGGCCUCGUUUGGCAGCUCGGACUGUACUGACUAUUUCUGUCGGAUAGGAUAAAUAGCCACCGGAUAGUACUGACUAAAUUAGUCGGACGUUUGGUGCAGGAUCGGACUAAUGACCGUAUUAUUUAUACUGUGUUUGGUAUUGAACCGUAUAGGACAAGGGAAAAAAAAAUUGACAAAUCUUUGUUUGUUUGUUGAACUUUUCUCAUAUUUAUACCUAUUGAAAACCACACAAAUCUUCAAAUAACAAAAAAAGUAAAUAAAAAAGUAAAUUCCAUACAUCAAAUUCAAAAUAUUUUCCAGGAACAUAAAAGAUACACAAAAAACAACUACAAUCUUUGACAAUUCUAAAGCAAUCUCAAGUUUUGGAUCCACUCCUUCCCAAAAGCAGCUUGUAAAACUUCACCCAACUUAUCAACUGAUUCAGAAAGCAUUUCUUUAAAUGUCACAGCAAGAUCAUUGUCAUUAGCAGCUCUCUUCAUUGAAAACUUUGGUGAAAUGAUAACUAGGAAACUCAGCGGACAGAAGAAAACCACACCAGCUAAUUAAAAAUUGCACCAACAGCAAGAAAAAACAGUAGCAGGAAGGAUAAGAACAAGCAAAGAAACACAGUCAAACGAGUCAGGAUAACAUCUUCACUUGACGAAACCAGAACAAUUCUAUUCAACACCCAAUCAACAGAGCAAUACUUCAACAUCCAAUCAACAAUUCUAUUCAGUAAACCACAACUGCUAACGAAAUCAAAACAAAGCAGUACUUCAACACCCAACCAACAGAAUGCCAGACAAAAGGAAAUCAUAACAAAGCAAUACUUCAACACAUAAUCAAAUAGGCACAGGAAGCACACUCCCACUCCCACUCUACCCAAUCACAAGCAAGAUAUGCAUUCCUCAUUCUUCAAGUUCAAUUAAAAAUUAACACGAAAUACUAUCAAAUUUCAUACCUCUGAGCUACUAAGACAGAACAAAUAGGCACAGGAAGUACUUCACCUAAAAGCACUUAAAUCGUAAGAAAGUUGGAGAAAAAACAGAUUAACCGCACAACCCAGUUAGCUAAACCCAGCAAAAAUUAAAAAAAACGCAUGCAGCCACACAAGUCCAACUAUUGAAAUAUCAAAACAUCACUGACAACCCAUUUCUCUAAAAGCAUCAGAAAUCGAUUCCCAAUUCACAAAACCCACCAAAAUUUGAUCCCAGUAGGUGCAAAAUUAGAGAGAAAAUAAUAGCGAAGAGAAAUUGGCUUACCGUCCGUAUGGUUGCGUUGUAGCUGCGAGACAACAAGUGAAACGAGAACUGCGCCAGAGACAACCAAUAACAAACCCUAAAUUCGACCCCAAUAGCAAACCCUAAAAUUAAAAAAAUUUAAUUAAAACACAAAAUUACAUAAUCAAUUGCAUAAUUAGAGAGAAUAAUAACUAGCUUCAAUCAAUUGAAAGAAAAUUGCAAGAAAAAUAGGAGGGGGAAAAAUAGAGGGAGGGGUGGAAUCCCAUAAGAAGAAAACUGAAAAGACGAACUGUGAUUCAAACGAAGAAGAAGAAUUUGAGAAGACAAACCUGGGAUGAGAGCAAGAGUGCGUCUGGAGAGGAAGAGAGAGCGCCUGGAGUGGAAGAGUGCGUCUGGAGAGGAAGCGAGAGCGCCUGGAGAGGAAGCGAGAGCGAGAGCGAACGGAGAGGAAGCGAGAGCGAGCGGAGAGGAAACGAGAGCGAGAGCGACAGCGAGAGCCAGAGAGAGCGGAGAGGAAUCGAGACGAGGCCGACUAAGUUAUACCGUGAAUAUGGACGGUAUAAGCAAGCGGGUGAACGCCGUGUAAAAAAGGUGGGCCCGGAUUAUUUAAUCCGGUGCCUAUUUAAUCCAAACGACCACCAAACACCGUACACCGUAUUAUUAGUACUAUCCGGUGCCUUAUACGGUGUGCCAAACAGGGCCAGAGUGUCUAAUUUCUACCACUAGACGGUAGAAUGGCACCUUACUCAACAUUUAUUCAUUCUAUUUAAAAAAUUAAUAAUUCUUUUUUCUGGCUAAUUCGUCGUGUCAUAAUAUAAUCGAAAUCGAAAUUGUUUAUAGUGCCACUGUACUAAGCCCCCAACCUUAUUGGAAUCGUUUAUUUACUAAAUCAUUAUUUGUAGGUUAUUACUACAUAAAGAUCAAUUAAAUUGAAGGUGGUUUAGUAAUUCGUAUUCAUAUAACAAAUCGAUGAUUCAUCUACCAAAUUCGUCCAUUUAUUUUAUGAACAUAGGCGAUUAAAUGAUCUUCAAUUUGAAUAAUUCAAAUAGUAACGUUUGUAUUAAGUGAGCCAGAAAAAAGGUGCAUCCAGGAGGUGGGCAAAAGUUUUGAUGAGAUGUGAGCCACAAGGCAAAGGGAGGCACCUUGAACUGCAAGGUUUAGGGUUAGUCUCAAUUCCUUUUCCAAAAACUCGCUUUAGCUCCUUGGAUUCACAAACUUUGAACUAUAAGUCACAGGUUUUCCAAGAAGCAACAAGUUCGUGAUUGUACCAAUUAAACGGAAAAACGGAGCCACAAAUCACGUU
rnacentral:lncRNA from 1 species